rnacentral:lncRNA from 1 species
UGGCUCGUGAUCCUCUGCUUGACACUUCUCCAGUGGGGUCUCCUCUGCCUGCAUCUUCCUCUGUUUCUUUGGUCUCUUCACCACUCUCUCUACUUCUUGUGUUCCCCAUGUUGCUGCUGCUACCUUUCUCCAGAUUCUCUAGUUAAUCACUUAGAAACUGAGAGUAAGGCCCUCUUGACAUCAACCUCUGCCAGAAAAAAAAAAACAAAAACAAUGUAUUUUUCUUGUAAUUUUGAUAUUAUUAUACCUUUUCUAUUAAUUGUUCGUAUGAAAAUUGUAAUUUUGAUAUUAUUAUAAUUUUGAUUGUUUUUGAGGCACAAAACCCAUAAACACGAGAGUUACAAGUAGGAACAACUGCACCAGGCCAAAUGGCAGAAGAGUACAUCAUGAGCAAUUUUCAUACGAACAAUUAAGGGUUUUGUGCCUCAAAAACAAUCAAAAUUGAUCGAUCGAAAUUAUAAAUAAUAAGUAUCUCACAUGUAGAUGUCUGAAACUGUCGCUUGCUUGUUGUGAUUGAACAAAUAAGACAUGCAUAUUAAGUAGGUAGAGGAUAAUUACGAUAAUCCAGGUUACUAUAGAGCAUGAAACUAGAUGUUUCAAUCUUACAUAAAAAGAGAGUGUUGAAUCAAACACAUAAAGAAAGUAUUGUACACAGUGCUCAUGAGGUUACCAUGAUGGCGCAUUUCCAUUGUAGAACAGCUUCCCGAGGAACGUGUAGUCGAGAUGGAAAAAGCUGAGUUUCUUGAGAGACACACUGGGAAGAAGACGUCUCUUGAGACUCAAGUUCUCGUCCUUGAGGGUCUCAACAGUAAGGGAAAGCUGCCUAAUGACCUCUCUCUUCUCUUCGUCCUUCUCUAGCAGCUGUCUUUUCAAAGCAUCAUUCUCUUGGAUGAGCUUCAACCUUUCUUGUUCCAGUUUCUUCGAAGUGGAGGAGGCGGCUUCAACAUCAUCUUCGUCAGGGUCUUCAAUCUCGGAAUGGGGAUCAUCAAGGAGCUCGGAAAGGGAGUGGUCGAUAGGGGAGGAUUUAAGGUGAUGGAAACGGUGGGCUAAGGAACGGUGAGCACGAUAGAAAUCGUGGACGAAGGCGAUAAGCUCAGGACGUUUCUUGUAGUAUGUCUCGGCUCGCUGCGCAAAAGAAUCGGCGUUACCCUCCUCAAUAAGCGACAACAUGGCAUUGGUCUUGGAAUCAAGCUCUGCAAGUGUGGAAUGGAGCCAUUGAGAAUGCUUAGAGGAGGUCGUCGUCGUUGUCUUGUGAUGACUCUCGAACCACCACCAUCUUCUUUUCUCUUCUUCCUCUCCAACCAUUUCUUCUUCACCAAAACACUUAUCUCUCGUAUAGCCUCUCUCCCUUCUUAUCAGUUGGGUGCGAAUAACAGUAAAUCUGUUUUCAAAUUUUGAAUAUCUCUAUGUCCGCCCCCUUCCCCCCCUUUGUAAAUAUACAGAUUCGAAAAUUUACUCUCUUUUUUUUUUAUUUUUUCCAGAUUUCACGGCAAUCAAUACGUAUGUAUAUUAUGGAUCAAACUCGUAGAUUCUCGGUCUCAUAUCAUAAGCCCAUUAACAUAAUCUUUUUCCCUCUCCUUAAUAAAGCCCAUUAUACAGAGGCAGUCUUCAUUGGACGGAGGCAAUUCCAUACAAAUGGGCUUCAGAAGAUUAAUCAAUCAUAAUGCUCAAACUAAACUAAUAGAGUCCAUCCUCUCUGCUUGCUCAAAUAGUUACAUUACAAAUAGCCCCCCACUUCAUGGGGCCCCCAAUUUAAAAAAAAAAACUUAUAUACAUAUAAAUGUAUACUAUAUAAAACAUAAAAAUGUUAAAGAUAUUAAGUAAAACUAUAUUAUUAGAUAAAAUUUAUGAUUAUUCAUUUUAAGAAUAAGCAUUUACAAAAUAAAAUAUAUAAACCUUUUUUUUAUUUUUACUAAAAAUUAGAUAAAAUUUCAAUUUUGUAACGUUAGAUCCGGCUCUGCUUCCGGGCCUUCACCAUUUGCUUUAGCAGCUUCCGACACCAUGUGAAUGAAUCAUUCCUACAUGCUAUCUUGUAUUUGGUUGGAAGAGAAUAUUGUCUUUAGGCCUCAUUGUCUAAGGUGUGUGUGUACAUAGUUUCGGUAGUCUUGGCAAAGUCCCAUACAAAUAGAGAGAGACGCAAAACAUGAGAAGACAGUAGAUUGUACUAGUUCUAACUAUGAUCUCAUCUCUCUGGUGGUUUUUCUUUUUCUUAUACAGCAUAGCAAGUUUGGUUGGUAGUAAUGAUACAUAUAUGUUUCUCCUAGCUCAUAAUAAUACAAAUAAAAAGGACUCAUCUCAUCUCAUAGUAGAUGUACAAGACAUUACAAUCAAAGACCUGUUGCCUGCCUGCUACGAAACUAAGCAAACUCGCUAUCAUCAUCAACAUGAUAUAUUAUGGAUGUGACUUAGCGAAACGUCCCCUGAUUCUUGUCCUGCUUUCUGCACGAACCUUGCGUGAUUCAUAUCUAAUGUGCUUCUCGUACCUGACAUUUUGAUCAAACACCCCCAGUGUCUAAUUCGUGUGUUUCUAAAUUAAGAAUAAGAGAUGAGGAAGGAGUUAGGUCAAGAAGAUAGUUUACCUUCGAGAUUUCUUCUUGGCUUUGUAGCGAGAGAGAGCAGAGUUUCUCUCAAGACUGUUGAUCUCAUGUGUCAACCUUGUCGUAGUAGUACUAGUGGAAACCGGAACCAUCACAGGCGAUGACUCUUGUUGUUGCUGUUGUUGAGUGCUGCAGCCUCUCUGGUUUACAUUAUUAUCAUCUGAAUACGGAUAAUAGUCUUCUUGUUGAUCCUCGAACCAUUUCAGUCCACCCACCUUAAAAAAAAAAAAAUUGAUUUUUUUUAAAAAAAUUGAGAGACCGACCAGCAGAACUGACCAAUAAGAAGAAAACAGAUGUAGAAGAAACAAAUAAUACCUGAGAUUCAAAUGUAGAAGAAAACAGAUCGUCAUCGUUUCCCGGUUCAAGAAAGAGGAAUCCGGUGGUGUCGAGCUCAGCAUCAAGGGUCUCGUAUUUGAGACAACUAGGCUCGGAUCUCGAGAGUUCACGGAGCUGUCUGAUCAUCUCCUCUUUGUGUCUCCCGCAGGUAGCGUGGCGAUUCUACGACAGAGAGAGAGAGAGAGAGAGAGAGAAAUAAAUAAAUUUUCAAAAACAGAGGAUUCAUUUCUCUUAAAAGAAACAGUUUUUAUUUUUUUUUAAAGAUAAGCAUCAUGAUAUGUACCUUAGGGAGAGGAGGAACAUCCAUGGCCCGGUAAUUGUGACUCGACCCGUCCGAAGCAACCAGAUCGUUAAGGCUAACGAUCUGCGGAGGGGUCUGCUCCGAUCCUCCUCGGGGAUGGGGAAGGAACAGAGCUUUGUCACUGAGGUCAUCGAGGCCCACGAGUGCCAGUAGCUCUGUCACGGAAGGACACCCCGAAAACCCUUCCAAGGGUCUGCGGCUGUGAAGCGAGGAGGAGGAGGUGUGGUGUUGCCAGUCACAGUUCUGGCAUAGCACUGAGCUUUCCGUGUCGCAGAACACGGAAGAGGGAGAGUCGUCGCAGGAGUCGCAGAGGAGUGACCUGAAGUGUUUCGAGAAGAGCUGGUUCGUUACGUGGACUUGAUUGUCGCAGGCGAGACAUAGCUUGGCUGAGUCUGCUUUGCAGUAGACGAGAGCCACCGAGGACUCGCAAUAGUCGCAGAUGCGAUGUUGCUGAUGGGAUCCUUCUUCUUUUUCUUCUUUUUCCAUUUGAGGAGACAGUAGGGCACUCUGUUUUCCUGUGGCAGAGAUGAAGAAGGAGAAAGAAAGAAUCUUCAACCUCUAUCUUCCGAUUUUACCCCUCUCCUUUUCUCUGCUGUUAAUAGUCUGUUUUAGUUUUACUAUACUGCUAAUAAUAAUAAAAAGCCCAUAGAAUGGAAUACUACAAUCUCAUUCUGGGCUGCCCUCUGUUAGCAAAACAGGCCCAUUGAUACUCGCCAUGUGCUUCUUCUCCUUCUCCCUGCUUAAUGCCACACCAUUCCAUUAAAUUCCAAUACUCCAUCUUCUCCCUCGCCAAAAGUCGCUGACCUCGUUAAACCCCUAUCAAUGGCAUUGGCUACAUUUGUUUCUUCUUCUCCCUUCCUUUUGACAUUAAUACUAAUUAUGGUCUAGUGCCAUUUCGAUCCUGCCAAGCUUCACGAUGCAUCAUUUCUCAACGCUAAAGGUUAACACUUUCACAUCUCUUCUCCAUUCAUGAAUCGAAGCUAGAGUCUUUAUAUUACUGCUUGUUUCUUCUUUCAUUUGACUGAUCAGUCUCUGAAUCCGUCCAUGGUUGCUUCCUCUCAGGUUUACUGCGUUUGAUUACUCCCACCUCCCAUGCCAGAAACAAGCAUAGACAGUUUACCAGCGCUAGAAAGCAUGUCUUAAUGGAGAUGAUUCUCUUUUCUCACCUAUGACCCUAGUCGAGUUCAUGAUACGAGAUGGCAAGCUCUUGACAAAUGCUCAUUGUCUCCAACAUGAUACGCCUGUUUACUUCUUCUUCUUCUUCUUUUCAACUUUCUUGAUCAAGUUAAAAUUGAGAGAAGGGGAGAUGAUAGAAAGUAGUAUAUGGCUAAGGUUAGUUUUACCAUCUAUCUAUCAUAGUUACUUCCAAUAUAUAUAUAUGUAUGUGUUUUUAAUAUUUGAACCAUCCACCUAAUUCUCUUACAAAGUGCCUUCACAUUUUGUUAUGUACAGGUUUGACCCAAGGGAUUGGACACUAAAAGCUCUCCACAACAUAUGGGGAAAGCUUUCAGCUUCAUUACUCAAUUCAAUAAGGUCUUGACCUGUUCCAAGUUUACUACAUUCUUUCUUCAUAUCUCUAGGAGAUUGAAUUUGAUAGAAAUUUUGGCAUGACAAUGCCCGCCUUUGUGUUGAGAUUAGUGUGUAAUGAGGAAAAUCAUAGCAUGAAUCUUAGAGCAAAGUCAACAUAUUAUAUACAUUUCAAUAGUGAUGAGAAAUGAAAUGCCUGCUGCUCUUACAUUUUACAGAGAAUCUCUGCUUAUCUUUUUAACUAAACCUAAGAUUAUUGCAGAAACAAGUUAAAGCUAGCACUCACUUCAAUAUUCACUCACGGGUCUCUCUACUUGUUUGUUUGUUUGUUUGUUUGUUUUUAAUUAUUUACUUUGCGUUUUUAUUCAGAAAUCAAAACAAAACAAACACUCCGACACCAAAUCAAAACCCGACAAUUCCACAUUUCAUGUGCUCUGCCCCUAGCAAAAGGUACACAACCAAACCAACCAAUCUUGUCUUUUACCACCUCUAUAGCUGUAUACCUUUUAUAAUUCAGUUUCUCAUCCUUUUUAAUCUCUAAAGGUCUCUCAGAAACAGAGAGAGAGAGAGACUCAUUCACAGAAAGAAAAUCAUGGGCGUCUCUCUGUUCGUUGGCCUUACCCUUCUCUCACUCUGUCUGCCCACUUCAACAUCCGAGCUUCUACAGUUUCAGCUCUCCACCAUAUCAGCUGCACCUUCGUUUUUACCCGAAGCGCCUUCUAGUUUCUCAGCUUCACCUCCGGAGGCUACGUCUCCGGAUAUCUCUCCUCUGUUCCCUACUCCGGGUUCGAGCGAAAUGUCUCCUUCUCCGUCAGAAUCUUCUGCCAUGCCGACAAUCCCCUCAAGCCUUAGCCCACCAAACCCAGAUGCUGUGGCUCGUGAUCCUCUGCUUGACACUUCUCCAGUGGGGUCUCCUCUGCCUGCAUCUUCCUCUGUUUCUUUGGUCUCUUCACCACUCUCUCUACUUCUUGUGUUCCCCAUGUUGCUGCUGCUACCUUUCUCCAGAUUCUCUAGUUAAUCACUUAGAAACUGAGAGUAAGGCCCUCUUGACAUCAACCUCUGCCAGAAAAAAAAAAACAAAAACAAUGUAUUUUUCUUGUAAUUUUGAUAUUAUUAUACC